rnacentral:rRNA from 1 species
UACGGAGGGUGCAAGCGUUGCUCGGAAUUACUGGGCGUAAAGCGACCGCAGGCGGUCGACUAUGUCGGAUGUGAAAGCCCUGGGCUCAACCCAGGAACUGCAUUCGAAACUGGUCGACUUGAGUUCGAGAGAGGGUGGUGGAAUUCCUGGUGUAGAGGUGAAAUUCGUUGAUAUCAGGAGGAACACCGGCGGCGAAGGCGGCCACCUGGCUCGAUACUGACGCUCAUGGUCGAAAGCGUGGGGAGCAAACAGG